AGCGCCGGAGCAGCCUGAGGCAGGGCAGGGGAUGUUUUAUCCUGAAGCUCCGCGACACCGCCGGGGCCGAGGCGAGAGGGGGCGCCCUCACACAGCCCUUGCGGCCCAGCGCGGGCCCGGCGCGGCGCCAUGAGGGGCCGGCGGGCGGCCUGCCCCCACCCCGGGGUGCUGAGCCCAAAAAGGGCGAAAUUCACACCGCGGGGCGGUGAGGCAGCAGCAGGGGAAGGAAAGAAAUUCUGCUUAAUCCCAGACUGAAGCUACCGAAUUCUGGCACGUUCCUCAGGAAGCUCCAGGCCCGGCGAUGUUCGGCCGCAGCUCUGCACGGCACCCAAAAGGCUGGGGACGGGAGCUGGGAGCGAUCCUGCACCAGGAGCAAUCCUGCAGCGGGUGCCAGGAGCUCUUACACCAGGAUCCCACACCAGAACCUGGAGCCCACCCCAGACACCGCCAGGCAGAUGCCACCCUUCGGGCUUUAAAGAUCCAUUUCCCCACCACAGGUUAAGAACACAUCUAUUACAAAGACUUGUUCGCAGUACAGACUGAGCAAAAACAUUUUGAAGCGGUGUUAAGAGACAAUGAAAUCUAAACUGUUUCAGAGGAAGAAAUGAAUUGAAAUAGCCUAGAGGGAUUAUAUGCACUUCAGAGUCCUCCAGCUAAUUUACUGUGGGUUUACAAUAACACUUCCCUGGGAUGCACACAAACAAUAACGAAACUAACGAACCAGCUGGGAAAAGAGUGAAAAUAACUGCUUGAAACUAGCAAAAUACAAAGUGGAAGGAAAGGCUUGGGUUUGUUUUUUCCUUUUAAAUUUGUUUGUUAAGUACCAAGUAAAAACAAACGUAUCCCACACCA